UAUUGUUGCCUCGGCGGUGCCUGUUCCGACAGCCCGCCAGAGGACCCCAAACCCUGAUUACAUUUAAGAAGUCUUCUGAGUAACCGAUUAAAUAAAUCAAAACUUUCAACAACGGAUCUCUUGGUUCUGGCAUCGAUGAAGAACGCAGCGAAAUGCGAUAAGUAAUGUGAAUUGCAGAAUUCAGUGAAUCAUCGAAUCUUUGAACGCACAUUGCGCCCGCUAGUAUUCUGGCGGGCAUGCCUGUUCGAGCGUCAUUUCAACCCUCAAGCCCCCGGGCUUGGUGUUGGGGAUCGGCGAGCCUCCGCGCCCGCCGUCCCCCAAAUCUAGUGGCGGUCUCGCUGUAGCUUCCUCUGCGUAGUAGCACACCUCGCACUGGGAAACAGCGCGGCCACGCCGUUAAACCCCCAACUUCUGAAAGUUUGACCUCGGAUCAGGUAGGAAUACCCGCUGAACUU
rnacentral:rRNA from 1 species